GACGAACGCUGGCGGCGUGCCUAAUACAUGCAAGUAGAACGCAGUUGCGAACGGGUGAGUAACUCGUAGGUAACUGCCUCCUAGCGGGGGAGACUAUUGGAAACGAUCGCUAAUUCCUCCUACUGUGUGUUGGACCUUCGGUGUAGUAGCUAGUUGGUGAGGUAAAGGCUCACGAAGGCGACGAUACAUAGCCGACCUGAGAGGGGGAACGGCCACACUGGGAAUGAGACAAGGGCCAGAAUUCGAAGGGGGGCCGCAGUAGGGAAUCUUCGGAAAUGGACGGAAGUCCUAACGAGCAACGCCGCGUGAGUGAAGAAGGUUUUCGGAGCGUAAAGCUCUGUUGUUAGAGAAGCGGUAACUAACCAGAAAGGGACGGCUAACUACGUGCCAGCAGCCGCGGUAAUAC
rnacentral:rRNA from 1 species